rnacentral:tRNA from 5 species
UGGGAUGUAGUGUAAUGGUAACACCUCAGACUUUGACUCUGAUAUAGUGGGUUCGAGUCCCGCCAUCCCAGCCA